AGAACGAACGCUGGCGGCAUGCCUAAUACAUGCAAGUCGAACGAACUCUUCGGAGUUAGUGGCGCACGGGUGCGUAACGCGUGGGAAUCUGCCCCUUGGUUCGGAAUAACAGUUGGAAACGACUGCUAAUACCGGAUGAUGACGAAAGUCCAAAGAUUUAUCGCCAAGGGAUGAGCCCGCGUAGGAUUAGCUAGUUGGUGAGGUAAAGGCUCACCAAGGCAACGAUCCUUAGCUGGUCUGAGAGGAUGAUCAGCCACACUGGGACUGAGACACGGCCCAGACUCCGUACGGGAGCAGCAGUAGGGAAUAUUGGAC
rnacentral:rRNA from 1 species